rnacentral:rRNA from 1 species
UACAGAGGGUGCGAGCGUUAAUCGGAAUUACUGGGCGUAAAGCGUGCGUAGACGGUUAUCUAAGUCGGAUGUGAAAGCCCCGGGCUCAACCUGGGAAUUGCAUUCGAGACUGAAUAGCUAGGGUACGGUAGAGGGAAGCGGAAUUUCCGGUGUAGCGGUCGAAAUGCGUAGAUAUCGGAAGGAACAUCAGUGGCGAAAGCGGCUUCCUGGACCAGUACCGACGUUCAGGCACGAAAGCGUGGGGAGCAAACAGG